AAUGACCUGUCUUAAUUCUUUCACUUCAUCCUCUAACUAACAUACACCCCACGUUGAUCACCUUUCAUAACAAAGAAAAAUAUCACACCAAUUAAACAAUUAAUUAAAUAAAUAAAUAAUUAAAUAAACAAAUCAUCUUUCUCCUUCCCUUCUCUCUCUUUUUUUCCAUCAAGUUUGAAUCACAAUAAAUAAUGGUAAGGGCAUUGGAGGAGGAAAAGGAAAUCUUCAAAUCCCGACUCGGGCAACGAGAGACGAAAAGCUUGAUUAUCGACAACAAUGGCGCCCUUUCGCCACUUGGCAACGACGGCAGGAUGACGUCGCGGAGCCAUGCCUCUCUUUUGUUCCUACACGAUCACGAAAUAUCCGAGCACACGAAAAUCGGAUGCGUUCUUGAUCGGACGGAGAAUAUCAAGUCCCGUUUGUCCAGUGACGGGAGUUCCACGAAUCUUCGUGCAAUAGAAAGGCUGCAUUCAG
rnacentral:lncRNA from 1 species